UUGCUCAAACUUUGAAAAAAAUUGGGUCUCGCCACGAAAACUACAGUAACCCUGGGAAUUUCGUGGCGAGACCCAAUUUUUUUCAAGUUUGAGCA
rnacentral:pre_miRNA from 1 species